GACGAACGCUGGCGGCGUGCCUAACACAUGCAAGUCGAGCGAUUCUCUUCGGUGAAGAGCGGCGGACGGGUGAGUAACGCGUGGGUAACCUGCCCUGUACACACGGAUAACAUACCGAAAGGUAUACUAAUACGAGAUAAUAUGCUAUUAUUGCAUGGUAGAAGUAUCAAAGCUUUUGCGGUACAGGAUGGACCCGCGUCUGAUUAGCUAGUUGGUAAGGUAACGGCUUACCAAGGCGACGAUCAGUAGCCGACCUGAGAGGGUGAUCGGCCACAUUGGGACUGAGACACGGUACAAACUCCUACGGGAGGCAGCAGUGGGGAAUAUUGCACAAUGGGCGAAAGCCUGAUGCAGCAACGCCGCGUGAGCGAUGAAGGCCUUCGGGUCGUAAAGCUCUGUCCUCAAGGAAGAUAAUGACGGCACUUGAGGAGGAAGCCCCGGCUAACUACGUGCCAGCAGCCGCAGUAAGAC
rnacentral:rRNA from 1 species